ACAGCUGUCUAAACCAAUGAGCGCUGGGACUUACACCUUCCUGGGAUUCAGGCUCCCAUGUUUUUGAUGUUUCUGUGCAGACAUCAAGGUGUCCAGAUGCCAAGAUUCCUUGGUCUCCACAGAUGCCUUUGUUCACAAGAUUAUUGAUGUUUGGGGUCAGGAUUUCUCUAAUGGCUCAUGACACAGGUGCAAAUGUCAUUAGAAGAAGAGUCUAGAUGAGAAUGAAAGCAUGAAAAGUUUUCAAUCUCCAUAUUUAACCACCUAAGGAGCAGAAGAGAAAAGGAAAGCAGAGAAAAGUAAAUCCACAUAAAAUAUGCUGUUCUAUUUGCUGAAAUUAAGAAGUGGA